GAGAUAAGGCCAAUUCAUAGUAUAUAAGUGGGUGCAAACAUCACCUUAUAAGUCGGUUUUGUGCAAAUUCCGUUAAGAUGAACGACGGUUGGAAAGGGCUACUCAUGGUUGUGGUUGGUUGAAAAUGCUUCCGCUGGAGGGGGAGUGUACCAAGGGACUCACCCCUGAGGGGAAGAUUGUUGGGAACCCAAGUAUGAGUCUAAGUCCCACAUUGAAUAGAAAUGAGAAAGUAGAGGACCUUAUAAAGAUGAAAGACCCAUUGCCUUAAGAUUUUGGGUAGAGAAUGGUGUCAAUCCCUUAUAUGGUUGGGCUCAGAUCUCAAUGUUGUUUGUGUCUCCCAAUUGAACCUCCUCCUCGAUAGAUCCAACAAUAACAACCUGAAUUCUUCAAAGGAAGACCAUAUAGACACAUAGUAUCCAAUUUUCUCCAUCGCCCAUCGAAAAAGGUGAAACUUACACACAUCCUGAAGCUCAUUCAAAUUUGACAACCUUAACUCUAAAGGGAAAAAGUUUAAUAUGUAAGAGGGUAAAGAAGAAGUGAGACCUUCAUUGAAAGACAUUGUGUGUAUUUGACAAGGGGACUUCAUUUCCAGCUAGUGACUCCAAACCGAAUUACUUUCUUCUACCUUAGAAACAUUCAUAGCUUCAAAAUUGGAAAAUGACGACGGAGGUCUCCUUGGAUUUGACUUGCAGA
rnacentral:lncRNA from 1 species